AUGAAGGCAUACACAGCUGCCGAGGACAAGCUUCUUUGCGAGUGUUGGCGAGACAUUGGACAAGACCCAAAGACGGGCGCCGAGCAAAAGCAUUCAACCUUUUGGACUCGUGUGCACCGCAAGUUUCAUGAGCGCAAGAAGUUUCCACCCUACCAAUUUGUGAGCGCACGCGGGUGGGUCUCCAUUUCCAAGCGGUGGAGGGUGAUCCAACAAGAGUGCAACAAGUUUUGCGUCACCCUUGAGAGCGUCAAGGCCCGCCCUGUGAGCGACAUCGGCGUGCAAAGACAUGGUAUGAUAGCAAGCAAGCCACCCUCUUUUGUGCCAUCAAGAUCAUCCUUUUACGUCUUCAUUUUGCUAUCACUUGCCCAUAUGCUUGCAUGGAAACAUUUUAUAGGCAUUUCAAGCUUUGGAGGCAUUCAAGGUUCAACACAAUGGCAAGUGCUUCAACCUCUCCCAUUGCUAUCGGGUCAUCAAGGACGAAGAGAAGUUCAAGGCACAAUAUGUCGCGCUGAAGGCACGUGGGGGGAAGGGCGCUGUGGAGGAUGUUGGGGAGGGCGAUCCGGCACGACCGCGGGGGAAGACCAACUCAAGGAAGGAGGACAAGCGAGAUGCGGCCACCAACGCCUUGAUCGCAAGCGUGGACAACACGAUGAAUAA
rnacentral:rRNA from 1 species